rnacentral:lncRNA from 1 species
GGAAGGGAAGAAAUAGGAUGUUCCUUCUUCCUCCAGAGGGCCUUCCCCUCUAGCCAAGUUUCGCUCCCUAUCACCCUAUCUCGCCAGCAGCGGCCCCUUUAAGGCCGCCUUGGAGGACCCAGAUUCACAGAGGGCAUCCUCUAGCUGCUGUCUCGAUGGUUAGUCACCACUUCCGGUAGGAAGUGCAAUUUCAGAGCUACUCCUGCCGGUAGUGGCUAGUGAAUCAGACACGUGGUUUAUCCGGAAGGAGGGGCAGCCCUCUCUCGCCUCCUGCUGGUCGCCGACCCUGGCCCGCAGGGCGACCGAGGUGGCUCUGGCGGAGGCCCUCGUCGGGCCCGGCCCUGGGACACUGAGACCCCAGGGCUCUGGCCAGAGACCGGUGGCCCCUCGGUGGGACCGGAACUUCCGGGGCUGCUCCCUUAGCGUCUGGGGUUGGGCGGGAGAUACAGAGGGCAUCGGGCCGCUGGCAGCCACCGAAAUAGGCCUAAGGGAUUGUGAAGAGGCGCGGGGCCAGCGGACAAGCCUGCAGUGCCCCCCGGCUUUGCGCGGGUUUUCUGGAUUGUGUAAGCAAUGAAUGAAACUGUCUUCGUAAAGCACGUUUUUUCACUCUUUUCCCCAGGGUUCCUCCAGAAAAUGAGAACUAUCCAUUCCACGGCAAUUGGAUGAUUGAUUCCUCCUGAUGAGUUUUCCAGGUGACCCCAGUUUGAGUGACCCAGGUCAGUUUCCUGGGAGAUGGGUGCAUAUGCUGCGUGAAAAUAUGGUUUCGGUUCUGCUGGUUCUGUGUCAUUGUUUUGAUUUAGGGCCUUCCAGGUUGGUUUCUUUCCUUGAGACGGGGUCUCUCUGUGUAGUCCAGGCUCACGUCAAACUCAUCAUGUGGCCCAGGCUGGCCUCAGACCCACAGUGAUCCUCUCGUGUCAGCCUCCCAAGUGCUGAGAUGACAGUGUGCACCACCAUGCCUGGCUUGGUUUCAUUCUUCACCAUGUGCUCUGUGAGACGGAUAUAAAUAAAUGGAGUCCAAACCCAAAGAGUCGUUGUGCACUCUGUGAUUUCUAAGCCCAGUGGUUCUGUGUGUGUGUGGCCUCCACUGCUGAGAUACACACUCAGUAGCACUGUCUCCAGCUUUUUUUUU